rnacentral:lncRNA from 1 species
UAAAAAACUCUGUCUUCCUCAAUCUUUGUUUCUUUAGAGUAACAGUAAAUCCUCAUUUAAUGUCUGUCCAAAAGGAGCAUGAAAAGUAAAGAAGGAAGGAUGGAAAGAAAGAAAAAGAAAGAAAGAAGGAAGAACAGAAGGAAGGUCAAUCAUGAAUAGCAUCAGGGUUAUUAUGGUCCAAUGGAGCCAGGCAUGGGACAGCCAAAUAUCACUCAAAAGUACAGGUUGGAAAUCAGAGCCCAGGGUCCUAUCACAUAGAUCUGCUGUUCCUUGGAAUCAUGUUCCUGGCUCCUGGUAG